rnacentral:ncRNA from 2 species
UACGAAGGGGGCUAGCGUUGUUCGGAAUUACUGGGCGUAAAGCGUACGUAGGCGGUCUGUCAAGUCAGAGGUGAAAUCCCAGGGCUCAACCCUGGAACUGCCUUUGAAACUGACAGGCUAGAGUGUGAGAGGGGAUAGCGGAAUUCCUAAUGUAGAGGUGAAAUUCGUAGAUAUUAGGAGGAACACCGGUGGCGAAGGCGGCUAUCUGGAUCACAACUGACGCUGAGGUACGAAAGCGUGGGGAGCAAACAGG